rnacentral:rRNA from 1 species
UCCAGACUCCUACGGGAGGCAGCAGUGGGGAAUAUUGCACAAUGGGGGAAACCCUGAUGCAGCGACGCCGCGUGAGUGAAGAAGUAUUUCGGUAUGUAAAGCUCUCUCAGCAGGGAAGAAAAAAGACGGUACCUGACUAAGAAGCCCCGGCUAACUACGUGCCAGCAGCCGCGGUAAUACGUAGGGGGCAAGCGUUAUCCGGAAUUACUGGGUGUAAAGGGUGCGUAGGUGGCAUGGUAAGUCAGAAGUGAAAGCCCGGGGCUUAACCCCGGGACUGCUUUUGAAACUGUCAUGCUGGAGUGCAGGAGAGGUAAGCGGAAUUCCUAGUGUAGCGGUGAAAUGCGUAGAUAUUAGGAGGAACACCAGUGGCGAAGGCGGCUUACUGGACUGUCACUGACACUGAUGCACGAAAGCGUGGGGAGCAAACAGGAUUAGAUACCCUAGUAA